CCUACGGGUGGCAGCAGUGAGGAAUAUUGGUCAAUGGUCGGGAGACUGAACCAGCCAAGCCGCGUGAGGGAUGAAGGUACAGAGUAUCGUAAACCUCUUUUGUCAGGGAACAAAGGCGGGGACGUGUCCCCGGAUGAGUGUACCUGAAGAAAAAGCAUCGGCUAACUCCGUGCCAGCAGCCGCGGUAAUACGGAGGAUGCGAGCGUUAUCCGGUUUUAGUGGGUUUAAGGGGUGCGCAGGCGGUCUGUUAGGUCAGCGGUCAAAGCCCGGGGCUCAACCCCGCCCCGCCGUUGAAACUGGCAGUCUCGAGUUGGAAAGAAGUAUGCGGAAUGCGCGGUGUAGCGGUGAAAGGCAUAGAUAUCGCGCAGAACUCCGAUUGCGAAGGCAGCAGGCCGGCUCCACACUGACGCUGAGGCACGAAAGCGUGGGUAUCGAACAGGAUUAGAUACCCUGGUAGUC
rnacentral:rRNA from 1 species